rnacentral:rRNA from 1 species
GAUGAACGCUAGCGAUAGGCUUAACACAUGCAAGUCGAGGGACCGGCGCACGGGUGCGUAACGCGUAUGCAACUUGCAUCACAGGGGGGGAUAACCGGACGAAAGACGGAAUAAUACCGCGUACUGUGAGAUAGGCAUGCGUCCCAUUGGCUAGUUGGUGAGGUAACGCCUAACCAAGGAAACGAAGGGUAGGGGAACUGAGAGGUUGAACCCCCACACUGGUAAUGAGACACUGACCAGACUCCGACGGGAGGCAGCAGUGAGGAAUAUUGGUCAAUGGGCGAGAGCCUGAACCAGCCAAGUCUCGUGAAGGAUGACUGUCUGUGGAUUGUAAACUUCUUUUGUAGGGGAAUAUGUACCCUACGAAUAAGCAUCGGCUAACUCCGUGCCAGCAGCCGCGGUAAUAC